ensembl:scaRNA small Cajal body-specific RNA 3
AAUGGAAGCUGCGGAAACCAACCAUGUAGACAAAUGAAAAAUUGCCUUUUGUCUACAGAUUGCAGCGAUCCUACAUAAACAUGGAGGUCUCUGUCUGACUUAGGACAGCCUGGCUAAGUCUGAUCGUUCCCCUCCAUACAAC